rnacentral:lncRNA from 1 species
UAUCCCUUAAAAAAUCUCAAACUGGUUGAGUAAUUAAGCCGUGAGUAUGAUAUAUGAAAUAUAUAGUAAAGAGUUAGGCGGAUGAUUUAAGAAAUUGGGCAACCCAGUAAAACCUUAUUUGGACAACAACUCUAAUCUCUUAUAUAUAAUUCUGGGCUACCCAUUAAGCCUUGUGGACCAUAAUUCUAAUCUCUUAUAAAUAAUCCCUAGUUUUUAGAGGGUUGGCCACACACCC